rnacentral:rRNA from 1 species
AUACAGGGGGUGCGAGCGUUAAUCGGAAUUACUGGGCGUAAAGAGUACGUAGGCGGUUGCUUAAGUCAGAUGUGAAAGCCCCGGGCUCAACCUGGGAACUGCAUUUGAAACUGAGUGACUAGAGUUUAAGAGAGGGGAGUAGAAUUCCGGGUGUAGCGGUGAAAUGCGUAGAGAUCCGGAGGAAUACCAGUGGCGAAGGUGGCUCCCUGGCUUAAAACUGACGCUGAGGUACGAAAGCGUGGGUAGCAAACAGGAUUAGAAACCCUAGUAGUCC